rnacentral:rRNA from 1 species
AGUGAACGCUGGCGGUAGGCCUAACACAUGCAAGUCGAACGGCAGCACAGUAAGAGCUUGCUCUUACGGGUGGCGAGUGGCGGACGGGUGAGGAGUACAUCGGAAUCUACUUUUUCGUGGGGGAUAACGUAGGGAAACUUACGCUAAUACCGCAUACGACCUACGGGUGAAAGCAGGGGAUCUUCGGACCUUGCGCGAUUGAAUGAGCCGAUGUCGGAUUAGCUAGUUGGCGGGGUAAAGGCCCACCAAGGCGACGAUCCGUAGCUGGUCUGAGAGGAUGAUCAGCCACACUGGAACUGAGACACGGUCCAGACUCCUACGGGAGGCAGCAGUGGGGAAUAUUGGACAAUGGGCGCAAGCCUGAUCCAGCCAUACCGCGUGGGUGAAGAGGGCCUUCGGGUUGUAAAGCCCUUUUGUUGGGAAAGAAAAGCAGCAGGUUAAUACCCCGCUGUUCUGACGGUACCCAAAGAAUAAGCACCGGCUAACUUCGU